CUGAACCCACCUUGGCUUGCGCGUAGUCAUUGGCUGCCUAUUAGAAUAAAUUGAGGACAAUGCAUUCCGCUGCCUGCCAAUUGUAAACAUAAGGGAUAUGUAUUCACUUAGCAUUGACUUUUGGGAGGGGCCAAGGAAAAGCUGUACUUUUAUUGAAUAGGGCUGUGUGUGAGGCUGCUGGUGUGCCUUUCUUGCUGCGCUCCUGCCCAAGCAGCCGGUUAUUCAUUUCCUUCCUACUAGCUGAGAACUUUGCAGCCAGAGUGCCUGUGAGAACCAUUGGGUUACUCAAAGAAUCCCUUGGGAGCUGAAGAGGCAGCAUCUUCCAGGCUCAGGGCCGUCAUAUCUGAGAUCACCUCGUUUUUCUGGAGUCGUCAUUUUGAUUCAUCAAGCAGCUGGUUUGUUACUGAAAAGCUCAGAAUAUUUCCUCUGACUGCCUUCCUGUGAGUAUGAUCAAAGAAGUUACCUCAGACUUCCUUUCUUGUGGUAUUCAGAAGUUGGGGGGUGGUUUUGAGGCUUUUUUUUCUUGUGUGUUUU
ensembl:lncRNA